GGAACCUAUAGAAACCAAAAAUAUAAAAAAUAAAGAACACCCGCAUUGAUUGAUCAACGCCAUGAGUACAUUACAGAGAUCAUCAUGUUCAUUCCGGAGGCAGGGAUCUUCCGGCCGAAUCUGGGAUAACCGACUUCCGAUGACGGAAAUAAAAGCCACCGGUGGAGUCAAUUCAAAUCUUCCUGUUUCCCCUCCACCUGAGGCUAUGGUGCAUUCUCCUACCAAUUCAGCUUCAGAAACCAAGUCCCAAAGGUGUGCAUUGGUAUCGAUUUUUGGCCGUUGUUUGAAAUCGCCAGCUUCUUAGAGGUCUCAAUUUCUUCUGGGUACGUUUGAU
rnacentral:lncRNA from 1 species